rnacentral:rRNA from 1 species
UACGGGGGGGGCAAGCGUUGUUCGGAAUUACUGGGCGUAAAGGGCUCGUAGGUGGCCAACUAAGUCAGACGUGAAAUCCCUCGGCUUAACCGGGGAACUGCAUCUGAUACUGGAUGGCUUGAGUUUGGGAGAGGGAUGCGGAAUUCCAGGUGUAGCGGUGAAAUGCGUAGAUAUCAGAAGGAACACCUGUGGUGUAGACGGCUUUCUGGACAACUCCUGACGCUGAGACACGAAAGCGUGGGUAGCAAACAGG